rnacentral:rRNA from 1 species
AGUUUGAUCCUGGCUCAGAUUGAACGCUGGCGGCAUGGUUAAAGCAUGCAAGUCGAACGCGAACCACCUUCGGGUGGGGAAAGUGGCGAAAGGGCGAGGAAUACGAUCGAAUGUGCCCCGAGGUGGGGGAUGGCGUCGAGAAAUCGGCGGUAAUACCCCAUGUGCUCUACGGAGGAAAGGUUUACCGCCUUGGGAGCAGCGAUCGUCCUAUCAGGUAGUUGGUGGGGUAAUGGCCUACCAAGCCGAAGACGGGUAGCGGGUGUGAGAGCAUGACCCGCCGCAUCGGAACUGAGACACUGUCCGGACUCCUACGGGAGGCUGCAGCGACGAAUAUUCCGCAAUGGGCGAAAGCCUGACGGAGCAAUGCCGCGUGUGGGAUGAAGCGCCUUCGGCGUGUAAACCACUGUCAGGUCCUAGGAACACUGACCAGGACCAGAGGAAGGGCCGGCUAACCUCGUG